GUUUGAUAUACCUGUUUAUGUCACGCGAGAGAAGGUCUGAUAAAAUUAUUUGUCAUUUCUAAUUUAUAUCUCAAUUUUAAAAUUAUCGAAUAUAUAAUUGUAUAAUUUAUAAUGUAAUUGUAACUAUAUUUGGUGAAGUUGUAGGAGUGCUACUUUCUCUCUGAUUUUGAUACUUUUUGAAUAUGUUUAAAGUGCAACAUUUUGAACAACUUGUUUCUAUACAUAUAACUGGCAAAAUAUCACAGGGGAAAUUUAAAUUAAAUUACUUUAAACAAUUAUUUUCAACUUUAUUCGGUAUACAGUAUGGUCACAAUAAUGUGUAAUACAUGUAACAAGAGUUGAUGAACGUACAAGUAAUAGAAAUGGUAUUGAAGGGCUAUCUAUUUACCUGAGCAAAUUCCACGGCAUCUUUUAAUUUCUCUGCGAGUACAAGGUUGUGUUCGAGAAGUUCUUCUACGUUGAGGAAAAUCGCUGCAAGCUGUUCGGAUGUGAGAAGCCCAGCCCUUAGCAUAGUCCUCGCAGUGCUUUGAAUCACCGGAAAUCACUUGUGGGAUUCCACUGAGGAGACUUCCUGGUCCCGAAGAGACAUUUCCUGCCCUCCAACGUCUUGGCACGCCCCGAGUGCUGCUGGCUUGACUGCUUUCUGAUCCCACUCCGCUAUCAGUUCUUUCUAUAUCUACGGCUCUUACCUUUAAAAAUUAUAAUUCACAUCACGACUUUUAUCUGAGCUAUCAUUACAUGUAUUACACGCGAUGUUAUCUUAUUUACGUGUGUGUAAUAAACUUUUAAUUGGAGAAACAAUAAAUAGACGAUUAUCGCGA
rnacentral:misc_RNA from 1 species